rnacentral:rRNA from 1 species
CGUGGUUGAUCCUGCUAGUAGUCAUAUGCUUGUCUCAAAGAUUAAGCCAUGCAUGUCUAUAUACAUGCCGUAUUAAGGCGAAACCGCGAAUGGCUCAUUAAAUUAGUUAUGGUUCUUUGGAUCGUACUUUACUAUUCGGAUAACUGUGGCAAUUCUAGAGCUAAUACAUGCAGCAGAGUUCCGACCCUCUAGGGAUGAGCGCUUUAUAGACCAAAACCAAUCGGACCUCGUAUCCGUAUUAUGUGGUGACUGUAUAACUUUGGGCUGAUCGCAUGGGCUCGUCCCGGCGACAUAUCUUUCAAGUGUCUGUCCUUAUCAACUGUCGAUGGUAGGUUACGCACCUACCAUGGUCGCAACGGGUGACGAGGAAUCAGAAUUCGAUUCCGGAGAGAGCCUGAGAAACGACUACCACAUCCAAGGAAGGCCGCAGGCGCGCAAAUUAACUACUCCCAUAACGGGGAGGUAGUGACGAAAAAUAACAAUACGGGACUCUUUUGAGACCCAUGUAAUUGGAAUGAGUACACUCUAAAUCCUUUAACGAGGAUUAAUUGGAGGGCAAGUCUGGUACCAGCAUACGCGGUAAUUCCAGCUCCAAUAGCGUAUAUUAAAGUUGUUGCGGUUAAAAAGCUCGUAGUUGGAUUUCAGUUCCAGACGGUUGGUUCGCCUAUCGGUGGUUACUGCCUGUUCCGAACAGCCAGUCGGUUUCCUUUGAUGAUCUUCACCGGUAUAGGAAGUUAGAUGGCACCAAACGGUUCGUCAGAAUUAUUGAGUCCGUAAAAGACAGCUAUCGCUAGCCAGUUACUCUGCAGUAACUUCUUGUUAUGCAUUUAAAUUGCUUAAUCGGCUUUAGCCUCGCUAACGUACUUGCUUUGAGAAUAUAUUCAGGCCUCAGCAAAAGCUUACUUAAGCGCAUGAUACUUUAUAUUUAAUACUUUAAUUUGACAUAAACUUUUAUUUUGAAUUUCCUGCAAGCUGCGCAGAUUUAAUUUUCAGUUGUUGUUUCUCAGUUUGUGUAUUCUUCAGGUUGAUGUAUGCACAAAAACAUUUAAUUUGAACCUUCACGUGAGUUUGUUUUCAAUCAGUUUGGGCUACUCAGAAGCUACAACAGAACGAUAAAUUGUCUGCCUGCUUUUAUGGUUCUAGGAGUUGACAGUUAAAAUAAUGUGGAGCUCUACAAUUUCAUAAGAUAUUUUUUUUUCUUAAAAGCCCAUUCAUUUUCCCUCAUUUGUUGAAUUUUCGCAGGCUCAUAACGUAUCUUAACAGAAAAAAAAAUCAAGUAAUA